GCAGCUCCCACCAGUUCAGCUUCAGCACAAACCAUGUUGUCUGUAGCUCUGCUGCUGCUGCUGGCUGCUGGAUCCUGUGUGAAAUGUGUCACGUUGACACAGCCAGCAUCUCUGACUGUCCAGCCAGGUCAAACUCUGACCAUCACCUGUCAGGUCUCUUAUUCUGUUAGCAGCUCUUACACAGCUUGGAUCAGACAGCCUGCAGGGAAAGGACUGGAGUGGAUUGGACAGAUUUAUGGUGGAAGCACAACUUACAAAGAUUCCCUGAAAAACAAGUUUAGCAUUUCCUCAGAUUCUUCCAGCAACACAGUGACUCUAACUGGACAGAAUCUGCAGCCUGAAGACACUGCUGUGUAUUAUUGUGCCAAAGCACCACAGUGA